AUCGAGACUAGAGUCAUGCUUCGGUAUCACUUGUUGCCUUAGUGUGCUAGAGUCCUCGAAUAGUAACUGCUAACCUUAUUCACUGGCUGUGGCCCUCAUGGCACAGUCAGCCACCAGGUUAGUUACAUAU
ensembl:snoRNA